rnacentral:rRNA from 1 species
GGAAUAUUGGACAAUGGGCGAAAGCCUGAUCCAGCCAUGCCGCGUGUGUGAAGAAGGUCUUCGGAUUGUAAAGCACUUUCAGCGGGGAGGAAGGGUGUUGUGUUAAUAGCACAGCAUUUUGACGUUACCCGCAGAAGAAGCACCGGCUAACUCCGUGCCAGCAGCCGCGGUAAUACGGGGGGUGCAAGCGUUAAUCGGAAUUACUGGGGGGAAAGGGCACGUAGGCGGUAUGUUAAGUUGGAUGGGAAAGCCCCGGGCUCAACCUGGGAAUUGCAUUCAAAACUGGCAUGCUAGAGUAUGUGAGAGGGGGGUAGAAUUCCAAGUGUAGCGGUGAAAUGCGUAGAGAUUUGGAGGAAUACCAGUGGCGAAGGCGGCCCCCUGGCACAAUACUGACGCUCAGGUGCGAAAGCGUGGGGAGCAAAC